rnacentral:rRNA from 1 species
UACGUAGGGGGCGAGCGUUGUCCGGAUUCAUUGGGCGUAAAGAGCUCGUAGGCGGUUCGGUAAGUCGGGUGUGAAAUCUCCGUGCUCAACACGGAGCGGCCACCUGAUACUGCCGUGACUCGAGUCCGGUAGGGAGUGUGGAAUUCCCGGUGUAGCGGUGAAAUGCGCAGAUAUCAGGAGGAACACCGGUGGCGAAGGCGGGUCUCUGGGCCGAUACUGACGCUGAGGAGCGAAAGCGUGGGGAGCGAACAGG